AGUGAACGCUGGCGGCGUGCUUAACACAUGCAAGUCGAACGAGAACGGGCUAUAGCUUGCUAUAGUUGUCAGCUAAGUGGCGCACGGGUGAGUAAUGUAUAGGUAAUAUGCCUCUUACUAAGGGAUAACAAAUGGAAACGUUUGCUAAUACCUUAUACUCCUUAUUAACAGAAGUUAGUAAGGGAAAGAUUUAUUGGUAAGAGAUUAGCCUGUAUUGUAUCAGUUAGUUGGUGGGGUAAUGGCUUACCAAGACUAUGACACAUAACUGGUUUGAGAGGAUGAUCAGUCACACUGGAACGGAGACACGGUCCAGACUCCUACGGGAGGCAGCAGUGGGGAAUAUUGCACAAUGGACGAAAGUCUGAUGCAGCAACGCCGCGUGGAGGAUGACACAUUUCGGUGCGUAAACUCCUUUUAUAUGAGAAGAUAAUGACGGUAUUAUAUGAAUAAGCACAGGCUAACUCCGUGCCAGCCGCCGCCGUAA
rnacentral:rRNA from 1 species